GCCAGGUGCAGUGGUGCAUGCCUGUAGUCCCAGCUACUCGGGAGGCUGAGGCUAGAGGAUCUCUUGAGCCCAGGAGUUCUGGGCUGUAGCGCGCUAUGCUGAUUGGGUGCCCACACUAAGUUCGGCAUCACUAUGGUGACCUCCUGGGAGUGGGGGACCACCGGGUUGCAUAAGGAGGGGUGAACCGGCCCAGGUUGGAAAUGGAGCAGGUCAAAACUCCUGUGCUGAUCAGUAGUGGGAUUGCACCUGUGAAUAGCCACUGCACUCCAGCCUGGGCAACAUAGCAAGACCCUGUCUCA
rnacentral:SRP_RNA from 1 species